AUGGAAGCCGCGGCGGUGAGCGUGUCACACGGAGCCAUAGGCUCCCUGCUUGGGAAGCUCGGCGAUUUGCUCACCGGCGAGUACAACCUGCUCAAAAAAGCAAAGGGCGAGAUCAUGUUCCUUAAAGCCGAGCUCGAGAGCAUGCGUGUGUUCCUAGAGAGGAUGUCGGACGCGGAGGAGGAGGAGGCUGACAAACAAGAAAAGUGCUGGGCUGAGGUGGUCCGUGAUCUGUCUUACGACAUCGAGGACAAUGUCGACGACUUCAUGCUCCGGGUGGAAUGCGAGUCAAACAGCAAGCCACAUGGCUUCAAGGGGUUCAUUGAAAGGAGCAUGAACUUGCUGACGACAAUCAGCAGCUAA
rnacentral:rRNA from 1 species